rnacentral:rRNA from 1 species
GAUAGCCUUUAGAAAUGAAGAUUAAUAUCCCAUAGUAAGUAGUUUUGGCAUCAAGACAACUUUAAAGUUUCGGCGGUAAAAGAUGAGUAUGCGUUCUAUUAGUUAGUUGGUAAGGUAACGGCUUACCAAGACCACGAUAGAUAGGGGCCCUGAGAGGGGGAUCCCCCACACUGGUACUGAGACACGGACCAGACUCCUACGGGAGGCAGCAGUGAGGAAUAUUGGACAAUGGGCGCGAGCCUGAUCCAGCCAUGCCGCGUGCAGGAAGACUGCCCUAUGGGUUGUAAACUGCUUUUAUACAGGAAGAAACCUUUUCACGUGUGAAAAGCUGACGGUACUGUAAGAAUAAGGAUCGGCUAACUCCGUGCCAGCAGCCGCGGUAAUACGGAGGAUCCAAGCGUUAUCCGGAAUCAUUGGGUUUAAAGGGUCCGUAGGUGGAUAAUUAAGUCAGGGGUGAAAAGUUUGCAGCUCAACUGUAAAAUUGCCUUUGAUACUGGUUAUCUUGAAUUAUUGUG